CAAUAGCGUAUAUUAAAGUUGUUGCAGUUAAAAAGCUCGUAGUUGGAUUUGUGGCGUACGGUGUGUUCCGGGCACUUGUUGGCUGAGUAACCUGCUGUUGCCAUCCUUGGGUGGAACCUGUGUGGCAUUAGGUUGUCGUGCAGGGGAUGCCCAUCAUUUACUGUGAAAAAAUUAGAGUGUUCAAAGCAGGCUUAUGCCGUUGAAUAUAUUAGCAUGGAAUAAUGAGAUAGGACUUUUUUGCUAUUUUGUUGGUUUGCGCAAAGAGGUAAUGAUUAAUAGGGACAGUUGGGGGUAUUCGUAUUCCAUUGUCAGAGGUGAAAUUCUUGGAUUUUUGGAAGACGAACUACUGCGAAAGCAUUUACCAAGGAUGUUUUCAUUAA
rnacentral:rRNA from 1 species